AUGCAAGUCGAGCGAAGCACCUGUAAAUGAAUCUUCGGAUGAUUUUACUUGUGACUGAGCGGCGGACGGGUGAGUAACGCGUGGGUAACCUGCCUCAUACAGGGGGAUAACAGUUGGAAACGACUGCUAAUACCGCAUAAGCGCACGGUGUCGCAUGACACAGUGUGAAAAACUCCGGUGGUAUGAGAUGGACCCGCGUCUGAUUAGCAGGUUGGUGGGGUAACGGCCUACCAAGGCGACGAUCAGUAGCCGACCUGAGAGGGUGAUCGGCCACAUUGGGACUGAGACACGGCCCAAACUCCUACGGGAGGCAGCAGUGGGGAAUAUUGCACAAUGGGGGAAACCCUGAUGCAGCAACGCCGCGUGAGUGAAGAAGUAUUUCGGUAUGUAAAGCUCUAUCAGCAGGGAAGAAAAUGACGGUACCUGACUAAGAAGCCCCAGCUAACUACGUGCCAGCAGCCGCGGUAAUACGUAGGGGGCAAGCGUUAUCCGGAUUUACUGGGUGUAAAGGGAGCGUAGACGGCGAGACAAGUCUGAAGUGAAAGCCCGGGGCUCAACCCCGGG
rnacentral:rRNA from 1 species